rnacentral:rRNA from 1 species
GUCUUUUUGAAUAAUAUUUAUUUAAAGUCUAAUCUGCUCACUGAAUUAAAAUUUAAAGAGCCGCAGUAUUUUAACUGUGCAAAGGUAGCAUAAUAAUUUGUUUUUUAAUUGAAAACUAGAAUGAAUGAUUGAACGAGAUAUAUACUGUCUCAAUUUUAAUUUAAUAUAAAUUAAUUUUUUAGUUAAAAAGCUAAAAUUGAUUUAAAAGACGAGAAGACCCUAUAGAUUUUUAUAUAAUUAUCAAUUAAUUUAUAUAUAUAUAUAAAUUUAUUUAUAUUUAUUGAUAAUUGUAUUUUAUUGGGGUAAUAAAAAAAUAAAAAAAACUUUUAUUAAAUAAAAACAUAAAUUAAUGAAAAUUUGAUCCAAAUUUAAUGAUUAAAAGAUUAAAUUACCUUAGGGAUAACAGCGUAAUUUUAAUUUUAAGUUCUUAUUGAAAUUAAAGAUUGCGACCUCGAUGUUGGAUUAAGAAAAAUUUUAAAAGUAGAUUUUUAAAUUUUAGGUCUGUUCGACCUUUAAAAUCUU